UGGGGAAUAUUGCGCAAUGGGCGAAAGCCUGAUGCAGCAACGCCGCGUGCGGGAAGAAGGCCCUAGGGUUGUAAACCGCUUUCAGCAGGGAAGAAAAUGACGGUACCUGCAGAAGAAGGUGCGGCCAACUACGUGCCAGCAGCCGCGGUGACACGUAGGCACCAAGCGUUGUCCGGAUUUAUUGGGCGUAAAGAGCUCGUAGGCGGUUCAGUAAGUCGGGUGUGAAAACUCUGGGCUCAACCCAGAGACGCCACCCGAUACUGCUGUGACUUGAGUACGGUAGGGGAGUGGGGAAUUCCUGGUGUAGCGGUGAAAUGCGCAGAUAUCAGAAGGAACACCAGUGGCGAAGGCGCCACUCUGGGCCGUAACUGACGCUGAGGAGCGAAAGCGUGGGGAGCAAACAGGAUUAGAUACCCGUGUAGUCCCUGAGCGGGCUGGCAAGGCGCAU
rnacentral:rRNA from 1 species